AGUACGUGAAACUGCUUAGAGGUUAAGCCCGAUGAACCUGAAUAUCCGUUAUGGAAAAUUCAUCACUAAUACUAUGAUAUUUAUAAUAUUAUAGAAAUGGUGUGCAAUUUUUCCAUAUAAGGACAUUGUAAUCUGUUAAUGUAUUAAAUAUUUAUUAAAAGAUCAUAUACAUAAGUUUAUUCAAAUUAGUUAUUUUCGGAUUUCUAACAUAGAAUAAAUGUAUUUGAUUUAAUAAAUCAUUGACAGAUUUUAUUAUAAUAUAGUGCUCAAAUUUUGAACGAAAUUUUACAAUAAUAUGAUAAUUCAAUUUGUUAUAUUUAUUGUAUGCGCUUAUAUGAUUAACAAUGCGAUAGAUUCAGGAUACCUUCGGGACCCGUCUUGAAACACGGACCAAGGAGUCUAACAUAUGUGCAAGUCAUUGGGUAUUUUUAAUAAAACCCAAUGGCAUAAUUAACUUAACUGUUUUUUAAAUGGGAUUAGUUUAUAUUUUAUUAUGAAAUAUUAAUUCAAUCCCGGGGCGUUCUAUAUAGUUAUGCAUAAUGAUAUUUAUAUUAUUUAUGUCUCUAACU
rnacentral:rRNA from 1 species